rnacentral:rRNA from 1 species
CACGCCCUAAACGAUGUCAACUGGUUGUUGGGUCUUCACUGACUCAGUAACGAAGCUAACGCGUGAAGUUGACCGCCUGGGGAGUNACGCGAAAAACCUUACCCACCUUUGACAUGUACGGAAUUUGCCAGAGAUGGCUUAGUGCUCGAAAGAGAACCGUAACACAGGUGC